rnacentral:rRNA from 1 species
UGGGGAAUUUUGGACAAUGGGGGAAACCCUGAUCCAGCCAUCCCGCGUGUGCGAUGAAGGCCUUCGGGUUGUAAAGCACUUUUGGCAGGAAAGAAACGUCAUGGGUUAAUACCCCGUGAAACUGACGGUACCUGCAGAAUAAGCACCGGCUAACUACGUGCCAGCAGCCGCGGUAAUACGUAGGGUGCAAGCGUUAAUCGGAAUUAAUGGGCGUAAAGCGUGCGCAGGCGGUUCGGAAAGAAAGCUGUGAAAUCCCAGAGCUCAACUUUGGAACUGCAUUUUUAACUACCGGGCUAGAGUGUGUCAGAGGGAGGUGGAAUUCCGCGUGUAGCAGUGAAAUGCGUAGAUAUGCGGAGGAACACCGAUGGCGAAGGCAGCCUCCUGGGAUAACACUGACGCUCAUGAACGAAAGCGUGGGGAGCAAACAGG